GUGUGUGUGUGUGUGUGUGUGUGUGUGUGUGUGUGUGUGUGUGUGUGUGUAAUGUGUGUGUGCGCGCAUAUGUUUCUCUGUGUGAAUGUUUGAGUGAGUACAUGUGGUAGGGGAGGAGCCAGGGAGACUCAGGAGUGCCACGUACCUGCUCUAGAGGCAGCUGUCCCAGUCAGUCCCUGCUGAGGAAGUGAGGGACAGGGCCCUCUCCUGGGGGCCAUUGGUGCUAAUGGGGGGACGGCCUUGGUGUGGGUGCUUAGCAUGCCUCCCCCAGUGUUGGCCCGGGGCACUAGGGCAGGCAGGGUGAGGCAGCAGGUGCAGUAUUGGUGGGAGGAAGGAUUGCUGGGAAUAGGUUGAGGGAGCCAGGCCAGGACAAGGGGGUGCCAGAGCCAUGACCACUACCCUACCCCCACCCGCCUCACCUCUCCAUCUCAGUAUUUCCCCUCCCAUCACUUAUAACACACAUACCUCAUCCAGCCUCCUCCCUGCUCAGACUUGGGGAGGGUGGGGGAGGAGGAGCCCCUGCCCCUUCCUGGGGGGGGUGGGUCUGCAGGGCUGGGAGAGGGCAGGGCGCGUGACACAGACACCGUCCAUAAGGGGGACAGUACUUGCUGCCCUGGGAACUCCUGGGUGGGGGAGGGAGACACUGCCCAGAGGCGCUACUGAAUGUAUGAGAAGCUGGUGCUGGGGUGGGGGGAGGGAGGGUUGUGGCCAGAAACAGGGAAGGAGGUAGGUCCCUUCCCCAGGGAGGGGUGGGACCGGUAGGGGUGACUUGCAGGGGCUCCUACUCCUGCCCCACGUUGACAAUCAGUAUGUCUGUUAUGUGCGAUUUUUCACCCCGUUGUGUUUUGGGUCAGGAUUUUAAAGAAAGAUAUUUUUAUGGUAAUUGUUGCUCGUCUAUUUUACUAUAUAUUUAUGUAAUAAAUAUAUGAUGAAAAUAA